GAUGUGACAAAGAUGAUUGAAGGCAGACUGUGGACGUUGUCUAUAUGGACAUUGAACAAAGCAGACUGAUCCCAGUGAUUAAUGCCAAAGCCCUGUUGCCUGGGGAGAGGGUGAUGUUUGACUUUCUUGUACAGCUGCAGAUUGUGUGGGGAAGGUGCUCCCACAAUGUGGUUGGGAUAUUAAAUCAGAAUAAUUGAAGUUGGGAUCUAAAAAGCAAGUUUUUACAGUCAAUGGAUUCAUCAGGAUCUGAAUAUCAUUGGCAUUUAACUGUGGAAGAAGAAAGGAUGAGGCUGUCACUGGCUCGGCCAGCAUUUAUUGCUGCGUUUACCCAGAGGGCAGUUAAGAGUCAACCACGUUGCUGUAGGUCUGGAGUCCCAUGCAGACCAGACCAGAUCCCAGUGAUCAGUGCCAAAGCCCCAUUGUGUGUGAAGAAGGUGAUGUUUGAAUUCCUUGUACUACUGCAGUUCGUGUGGUGAAGGUGCUCCCACAAUGUGGUUGGGGUGCUUGAUGGUGAAGAUUUGCAGACUGAAAUCUCAAACUCAUGUGCAGAUUGUGAUUAAGUUAACCAGCAUUUGAAGAACCAAAGAUGGAGAAUAACUUGGCCAAAAUCCUGUACACUCUCCUUCCCAGCAUUGUCGGUCUCUCUGCGCCAAAUGGACUGUGAAUGUUUCAAGACAGCAGCUCACUACCAUCUUCUCAAGGGUAACUAGAGAUGGGGAAUAAAUGCUGGCUGAGCCAGUGAUGCCCAUAUCCUGGAAAUGGUUUCUAUCUCUAGUUGCUGAACCCCAGUUGAUGUUACUGCAGGAUGAUGAGGGAUGCUGAGUGUUUCCUCCAGGAGGCAGCACCAUCACAUUACCCCUGCCUACACCCACACAGUAACACAGCAACAUCACUGGAACAAAAGGCAGUGAAGCCAAAGGAGGACUUAGAUAUAGUUCUUCGAGGUAAAGUCAUGAAAGGGGAUUGGAACACAGCAGGAACAGGAGACUGAGCUGGAUGGUCAGCUGUUUCCCAUUGAAUGGUGGGGCAGGAUUGAAAGGCCGAAUGGCCUCCUACUAUCUCUCCUGUAUGUAUAUAGCCAUGGAGCCCGGCUAGGAAGAAGUAGGCAGGGCAGGGAUUCUCCAGGCGAAUGCACUUCCACACCCGGUUUCAGUGAGGGAUGGUUUGAUGGAUUUUAUUUAACAUUUGUCUUUAACACAAGGUUUGUGAAUUUGGUUUUAAAAUAUUGUAGCUAUUUAUUCCACAAUAAAUAAAACUAAAAGAAAAUAAAUGAAACUAUCUUAAUAUAACAGUUUUUAAAAUUUCAAACGCCCUGUAAAACAAAUCCUGUCUACUCCCGGACACCAUCAGUUUCCAGUUACUCAAGCUCCAGGGAAAUAUUCCCUCCCUGUCUGAACCUUUGGUUUGAUUUAACUGUUUUUCAGUUCUGGUUCUGUGAGCUGUGAAGUGUUCUUUAUUCCCCAUUUCUCUGACCCGGACGUGGUAUCUCUCACAGCUGAUCAACCUUCCCACCAUCAACAUCAUCACCCCCCAUUACCCCAUUUUGGUUCACAUAUAAUCACCAGCAGUAAACCACCCAUGUAUCCAAUUGAAUAUUUAUAAACAACGCCCCUUACAGGCAAAGCAAACCAUUAUAAAAGACAAAGUGGGAAGGGAUCAAAUCAAAGUAGAGUUGGGAGUGAGGAGGCAGCGAUGGAGAUAAAGCACUGUAUCCACUGCGGUACCCAUCUCUAUCUAAAGGCAGCGGGAGAAUUGAUAAAAACUACGUGCUCCUUCUCCAAGGACACCCUGUUGUAUCGCCUUUAUCCUCAAUCAUAGAAUGGAAUCCCGACAGUGUGGAAGGAGAGCAUUGGCCCAUCAAAUCCCACCAACUAUCCAAAGAGCAUCCCAUCUGGAGCACUCCACCCCUGUAACACUGCAUUUCCCAUGGCUGAUCCACAGAGUCUGAACAAUCCUGGACACUGUGGACAAUUUAGCAUGACUGAUCCACCUAACCCACAAAUCUUUGGACUGUGGGAGGAAACCAGAUCACCUGGAGUGGACCCACACUAUCCUGGGGAGAAUGUGCAGACUCCACACAGGCUGUUGACCAAGGCUGGACUCUAACCUUGUACCUGGUGCUGUGAAGCAGCAGUGCUAUAGAGCAAUUUAAAUCAAAACAGAUGACCCCUGCUCAUUGAUGUUUGUGGAGACUCAUUGCCCAGAGAGACAUCCUGAGAUUCAGAAAGAGACAAUAUGAAUUCAGUCAACUCCUGCCGAGUUAAUGUGAUUAACAACAACAUCAAUACUCCAACAGCGUCAUCAGACCUCGUGCCUACUCUAUCAUUUACGAUUUUUAACCCAUGGGAAGUUUGUUACCAGCUUCGAUGACAGCCAUAAUGCUCUGACCACUUUGACAGAGCCAGUGCUUGUCAGUUCUCAUAGUUAUCAAUAGAUUGUAUCUAAACAGGAUGCCCCACAACAGGAAGUGCACUGACACUCAAUGCAUGUAAGGCAAGGUCAUUUUCCUAAAACCACUCGCGUCUGGCAAUACCAUUGAAUGUAUUUUAUACAGGAGUCUUUCAGUCUCAAUUGCCAGUUCCAGUCCAUGAAGCAGCCAGUAACACGCCCCAGUGAAUUGAAUUCUAACAGCAGCAUUGCCCUGGCAGGAGAGAUUGAGGAGAUUGAAACUGUCUUCUCUGGAGUAUCUAAACAUGAAACACUUCAAAUGAACAAAAAUCUUCAAGAGCUCGAGAGAAUGUAUACAGGAAGGAAGUGCUCCUAGGCUGGUGUGCCUGGAAUGAAAUAAACACUAACUACGGUAUCUUUACCCAGCAUCCCCUUUAGCUGCAUAAAUGUUGAAGAUUUAUUUGCUGCUCUCUCCAUCACUCCCAUUUUUCACUGCUGUAAUGUUGAUGACUGUGCAAAUAUAUAAAAUUUAAUUUAAUCCAUCCCAAAGCCUCUCUGUACCUGUGUCUCACUUGUGUUCACCGAGACACUCAUUCAAUCUGACCUCUUCGUAAACCCUGCCCUGAUAUUUCCUUAGAGGGCUCAGAAUUUAUUAUUCACAGAAUUGUUAAGGUGUAAAAGGAGGCUGAUUGGCUGAUCAGCUCUCCAAAGGAUCAGCUCACGGAAAGCUAUUCUUCUCCCUUUACCCCAUAAACCUUUCCAUUCAUCCUCUUCCAGUAACACCGGCGAGUUCACAACUAACCACAGCGAUCAGAUUUAUUUUGUUUGUUCAUGGGAUCAUGGCAUCACUUGCUGGGGCAGCAUUUGUCAUCCAUUCUGACUGCACAAGAGAUGGUUCAGAGUCAACCCCAUUAUUCAGGGUCUGGAUUCACAUGUUGGCUGGACCAGGUCAGGAGUAACACAGUCUCCCAGACCCAAUGACCGGAAGAGUCGGUUUCUGGCCUACUAUCUUAUUUCUGAAAUGAUAAUGAAUAAUG